UACGUAGGGUGCAAGCGUUGUCCGGAAUUAUUGGGCGUAAAGAGCUCGUAGGCGGUCUGUCGCGUCUGCUGUGAAAACUCAGGGCUUAACCCUGAGCUUGCAGUGGGUACGGGCAGACUAGAGUGCGGUAGGGGAGACUGGAAUUCCUGGUGUAGCGGUGGAAUGCGCAGAUAUCAGGAGGAAUACCAAUGGCGAAGGCAGUGCUCUGGGCUAACACUGACGCUGA
rnacentral:rRNA from 1 species